rnacentral:rRNA from 1 species
CUGCUAAUACCGCAUAAGCCCACGGCUCGGCAUCGAGCAGAGGGAAAAGGAGCAAUCCGCUUUGAGAUGGCCUCGCGUCCGAUUAGCUAGUUGGUGAGGUAACGGCCCACCAAGGCAACGAUCGGUAGCCGGACUGAGAGGUUGAACGGCCACAUUGGGACUGAGACACGGCCCAGACUCCUACGGGAGGCAGCAGUGGUGAAUAUUGCACAAUGGGGGAAACCCUGAUGCAGCGACGCCGCGUGGAGGAAGAAGGUCUUCGGAUUGUAAACUCCUGUUGUUGAGGAAGAUAAUGACGGUACUCAACAAGGAAGUGACGGCUAACUACGUGCCAGCAGCCGCGGUAAAACGUAGGUCACAAGCGUUGUCCGGAAUUACUGGGUGUAAAGGGAGCGCAGGCGGGAAGACAAGUUGGAAGUGAAAUCCAUGGGCUCAACCCAUGAACUGCUUUCAAAACUGUUUUUCUUGAGUGGUGCAGAGGUAGGCGGAAUUCCCGGUGUAGCGGUGGAAUGCGUAGAUAUCGGGAGGAACACCAGUGGCGAAGGCGGCCUACUGGGCACCAACUGACGCUGAGGCUCGAAAGUGUGGGUAGCAAACAGGAUUAGGUACCCUGGUAGUCCACACUGUAAACGAUGAUUACUAGGUGUUGGAGGAUUGACCCCUUCAGUGCCGCAGUUAACACAAUAAGUAAUCCACCUGGGGAGUACGACCGCAAGGUUGAAACUCAAAGGAAUUGACGGGGGCCCGCACAAGCAGUGGAGUAUGUGGUUUAAUUCGACGCAACGCGAAGAACCUUACCAAGUCUUGACAUCCCUUGACGAUGCUGGAAACAGUAUUUCUCUUCGGAGCAAGGAGACAGGUGGUGCAUGGUUGUCGUCAGCUCGUGUCGUGAGAUGUUGGGUUAAGUCCCGCAACGAGCGCAACCCUUAUGGUCAGUUACUACGCAAGAGAACUCUGGCCAGACUGCCGUUGACAAAACGGAGGAAGGUGGGGAUGACGUCAAAUCAUCAUGCCCUUUAUGACUUGGGCUACACACGUACUACAAUGGCGUUAAACAAAGAGAAGCAAGACCGCGAGGUGGAGCAAAACUCAGAAACAACGUCCCAGUUCGGACUGCAGGCUGCAACUCGCCUGCACGAAGUCGGAAUUGCUAGUAAUCGCAGAUCAGCAUGCUGCGGUGAAUACGUUCCCGGGCCUUGUACACACCGCCCGUCACACCAUGAGAGCCGGGGGGACCCGAAGUCGGUAGUCUAACCGCAAGGAGGACGCCGCCGAAGGUAAAACUGGUGAUUGGGGUGAAGUCGUAACAAGGUA